rnacentral:rRNA from 1 species
GUUGACCUCGGAUCAGGUAGGGAUACCCGCUGAACUUAAGCAUAUCAAUAAGCGGAGGAAAAGAAACCAACCGGGAUUGCCUCAGUAACGGCGAGUGAAGCGGCAAGAGCUCAAAUUUGAAAGCUGGCUCCUUCGGGGUCCGCAUUGUAAUUUGCAGAGGAUGCUUCGGGUGCAGCCCCCGUCUAAGUGCCCUGGAACGGGCCGUCAUAGAGGGUGAGAAUCCCGUAUGGGGCGGGGUGUCUGCGUCCGUGUGAAGCUCCUUCGACGAGUCGAGUUGUUUGGGAAUGCAGCUCUAAAUGGGUGGUAAAUUUCAUCUAAAGCUAAAUACUGGCCGGAGACCGAUAGCGCACAAGUAGAGUGAUCGAAAGAUGAAAAGCACUUUGAAAAGAGAGUUAAACAGCACGUGAAAUUGUUGAAAGGGAAGCGCUUGCAACCAGACUCGCUCGCGGGGUUCAGCCGGGCUUCGGCCCGGUGUACUUCCCCGCGGGCGGGCCAGCGUCGGUUUGGGCGGCCGGUCAAAGGCCUCCGGAAUGUAGCGCCCUUCGGGGCGCCUUAUAGCCGGGGGUGCAAUGCGGCCAGCCUGGACCGAGGAAC